CAUUCUGAUGUCGUUUAUCUGUCAGAAAAGUUUGGAGCAGAAUUCUUACAUCAACUGUCAAAGGCUCGAAUGCACCUCUGGGUCGCCACAUUUGGGACGUCCUGCGCAUUAGUAGCGCAACGCCGAGUGUCGGAAAUGUAGACAACGGCACCUCCCACACACGGAAGUAUAUUCAAGUUUUCAGUGGCGGGUUCUUUACUCUUAUAUGUAAAAGUAACAGUCAAGCAAUGACCGAGAAACACCAAACUGUAUCCAAACUAAAAAGAAGGAAAACUUCACUUGAAGAUUGUAAACCAGAGCAACUUCAUCGGACUUUACCUAGAGAGAGCAUCGGAGUCUUUCUUGCACAACAGGAACAGCCAAGUUGCAAAAGAGCAUGCGACAGCCCCAGUGGAGCCCUGCGUGGUCAGGAAUGGUGGGCCCAGUCAGGGCUGUCCCCCCUGGAGAGGCUGUGGGCCAUCACUCUGCAGGCCUUCAGUGCCCAGCCUCCAGAGACCUCCAGCACUGAGCUGCUGCCCGAGCUCCCACCGCCCCUCACACCGACAUGUGCCAGGGAGAAGCGAGCAGAGUGGAGGUGGUGUUGCCUUGACGACGAGGUGGGCGCUCUUCCAGAGAUGCCCGUGGUGGCCCAGCAUCCACCCGUGAGCUCUGCCAGCUCAGGUCAGCCUGUGCCUGUUGCCCCUGCCAACGCCGUUCCCACGGAGACCACGUGCCUCUCGGACCGCGCCGCCCCAAAACGCAUGUGCGCCGGCGCCGGUGCCAGGGCCCGGGCUGGCGGGGAGGAGGGGCGGCAGCGCAGUGCCACAGUUUCCGUGCCAACGUCUCAGAGGUGCCACCAGAGUGGCGAUAAAGGGCUGAGGGGCGUUGGUAUGGCAACCACCAGGCCUGCCACCUCGUCCGCGUCGUCGUUGGCAGUGGCGACAGAUACCCGGACAAGAGGAGGGCGAGAGCCAGCUGCUGGCACUGCUGCCACGGCAACAGCUAGUGUCACACUGGAAACGUUCUUCAGUGCAGGCAGGGGAGGAGGAGGAGGAGGAGGAGGAGGAGUGAAGAAGGAAGGGAUCAAACAGCGCCCCCCCACAGAUCACCAGUCGGGGACCGGUGUGCCCCCCACCCCUUCAGCAGGGCAGCAGGGGGCAUCAGUGGAGGCCAAGAGAGGCGGGGGGGCAGGAGCCCGAGAUCUGGAUUGCUGCCCUAUGUGCCUGAUGCCUUUCCCUGCAGGGUUCUCCCAGAUGGACUGUGACGGCCAUCUUGCCCAGUGCCUGUCCGAGAUGAACACAGACAUGAUGUGGUGAUCCUUCCGUGUCUCCGUGUUUGUUUGUUUGUGUGUGUGUGUGUGUGUGUGUGUGUGUGUGUGUGUGUGAGUGUGUGUGAGUGUGAGUGUGUGUGAGUGAGAGAGAGACUUCCACUGUUUGUUGUUGGAUUAAAUUGUGGAUUAAAAAUGGCAUGGUACUGUCUGUCUGUGCAUGAUGUCAUUCGUUACUUUAAACUCUAUGGCUGGAUUCCAGGUCCUGAAAAGAGACACACCUAGGACCCUAAUGUGACGGUGGAAAUGGCAGCCCCAUUGCACUCCCACACACACACACACACACACACACACACACACACACACACACAGGCAGCCCAAGCGCAUUGAUGCACAAUAAAGACAUGCUUCAGAGCGAUUGUUAAGGGCCAAAAAUAAUUAGUGAAAGG
ensembl:lncRNA